UGGCGGCGUGCUUAACACAUGCAAGUCGAACGGAAAGGCCCUGCUUUUGUGGGGUGCUCGAGUGGCGAACGGGUGAGUAACACGUGAGUAACCUGCCCUUGACUUUGGGAUAACUUCAGGAAACUGGGGCUAAUACCGGAUAGGAGCUCCUGCUGCAUGGUGGGGGUUGGAAAGUUUCGGCGGUUGGGGAUGGACUCGCGGCUUAUCAGCUUGUUGGUGGGGUAGUGGCUUACCAAGGCUUUGACGGGUAGCCGGCCUGAGAGGGUGACCGGCCACAUUGGGACUGAGAUACGGCCCAGACUCCUACGGGAGGCAGCAGUGGGGAAUAUUGCACAAUGGGCGGAAGCCUGAUGCAGCAACGCCGCGUGCGGGAUGACGGCCUUCGGGUUGUAAACCGCUUUCGCCUGUGACGAAGCGUGAGUGACGGUAAUGGGUAAAGAAGCACCGGCUAACUACGUGCCAGCAGCCGCGGUGAUACGUAGGGUGCGAGCGUUGUCCGGAUUUAUUGGGCGUAAAGGGCUCGUAGGUGGUUGAUCGCGUCGGAAGUGUAAUCUUGGGGCUUAACCCUGAGCGUGCUUUCGAUACGGGUUGACUUGAGGAAGGUAGGGGAGAAUGGAAUUCCUGGUGGAGCGGUGGAAUGCGCAGAUAUCAGGAGGAACACCAGUGGCGAAGGCGGUUCUCUGGGCCUUUCCUGACGCUGAGGAGCGAAAGCGUGGGGAGCGAACAGGCUUAGAUACCCUGGUAGUCCACGCUGUAAACGGUGGGUACUAGGUGUGGGGUCCAUUCCACGGGUUCCGUGCCGUAGCUAACGCUUUAAGUACCCCGCCUGGGGAGUACGGCCGCAAGGCUAAAACUCAAAGGAAUUGACGGGGCCCCGCACAAGCGGCGGAGCAUGCGGAUUAAUUCGAUGCAACGCGUAGAACCUUACCUGGGUUUGACAUGGAUCGGGAGUGCUCAGAGAUGGGUGUGCCUCUUUUGGGGUCGGUUCACAGGUGGUGCAUGGCUGUCGUCAGCUCGUGUCGUGAGAUGUUGGGUUAAGUCCCGCAACGAGCGCAACCCUUGUUCACUGUUGCCAGCACGUUAUGGUGGGGACUCAGUGGAGACCGCCGGGGUCAACUCGGAGGAAGGUGGGGAUGACGUCAAGUCAUCAUGCCCCUUAUGUCCAGGGCUUCACGCAUGCUACAAUGGCUGGUACAGAGAGUGGCGAGCCUGUGAGGGUGAGCGAAUCUCGGAAAGCCGGUCUCAGUUCGGAUUGGGGUCUGCAACUCGACCUCAUGAAGUCGGAGUCGCUAGUAAUCGCAGAUCAGCAACGCUGCGGUGAAUACGUUCCCGGGGCUUGUACACACCGCCCGUCAAGUCAUGAAAGUUGGUAACACCCGAAGCCGGUGGCCUAACCGUUGUGGGGGAGCCGUCGAAGGUGGGACUGGUGAUUAGGACUA
rnacentral:rRNA from 1 species